UACGGAGGAUGCGAGCGUUAUCCGGAUUCAUUGGGUUUAAAGGGUACGUAGGCGGCCUUGUAAGUCAGUGGUGAAAAUCUGUUGCUUAACGAUAGAGGUGCCAAUGAAACUGUAAGGCUUGAGUACAGAUGAGGUAUGCGGAAUGUGUAGUGUAGCGGUGAAAUGCAUAGAUAUUACACAGAACUCCGAUUGCGAAGGCAGCAUACUAAGUUGAGACUGACGCUGAAGUACGAAAGCGUGGGGAUCGAACAGGAUUAGAUACCCUGGUAGUCCACGCCGUAAACGAUGCUCACUAGCUGAAUGCGAUAUACCGUAUGCGGCCGAGCGAAAGCGUUAAGUGAGCCACCUGGGGAGUACGCCGGCAACGGUGAA
rnacentral:rRNA from 1 species